UAGAGUUUGAUCCUGGCUCAGGAUGAACGCUAGCGGCAGGCUUAAUACAUGCAAGUCGAGGGGCAGCAUGGUGUAGCAAUACACUGAUGGCGACCGGCAAACGGGUGCGGAACACGUACGCAACCUACCCAAAACUGAUGAAUAGCCCUCCGAAAGGAGGAUUAAUACAUCGUAACUUAAUGAAGUGGCAUCACUUUAUUAAUAUAGCUCCGGCGGUUUUGGAUGGGCGUGCGCCUGAUUAGGUAGUUGGCGGGGUAACGGCCCACCAAGCCUACGAUCAGUAACUGGUGUGAGAGCACGACCAGUCACACGGGCACUGAGACACGGGCCCGACUCCUACGGGAGGCAGCAGUAAGGAAUAUUGGUCAAUGGACGCAAGUCUGAACCAGCCAUGCCGCGUGAAGGAUGAAGGUCCUCUGGAUUGUAAACUUCUUUUAUAUGGGACGAAACCUCUUAUUCUUAAGAGACUGACGGUACCAUAGGAAUAAGCACCGGCUAACUCCGUGCCAGCAGCCGCGGUAAUACGGAGGGUGCAAGCGUUAUCCGGAUUCACUGGGUUUAAAGGGUGCGUAGGAGGGCAGGUAAGUCAGUGGUGAAAUCUUCGAGCUUAACUCGGAAACUGCCGUUGAUACUAUCUGUCUUGAAUACCGUGGAGAUGAGCGGAAUAUGUCAUGUAGCGGUGAAAUGCUUAGAUAUGACAUAGAACACCAAUUGCGAAGGCAGCUCGUUACACGAAUAUUGACUCUGAGGCACGAAAGCGUGGGGAUCAAACAGGAUUAGAUACCCUGGUAGUCCACGCCCUAAACGAUGGAUACUCGACAUACGCGAUACACUGUGUGUGUCUGAGCGAAAGCAUUAAGUAUCCCACCUGGGAAGUACGACCGCAAGGUUGAAACUCAAAGGAUUGGGCGGGGGUCCGCACAAGCGGU
rnacentral:rRNA from 1 species